rnacentral:rRNA from 1 species
UACGGGGGGGGCAAGCGUUGUUCGGAAUUACUGGGCGUAAAGGGCUCGUAGGUGGCCAACUAAGUCGGACGUGAAAUCCCUCAGCUUAACUGGGGAACUGCGUCCGAUACUGGAUGGCUUGAGUUUGGGAGAGGGAUGCGGAAUUCCAGGUGUAGCGGUGAAAUGCGUAGAUAUCUGGAGGAACACCGGUGGCGAAGGCGGCAUCCUGGACCGAAACUGACACUGAGGCGCGAAAGCCAGGGGAGCAAACGGG